GGAGGGGAUGUGGUCAGUGGCGAAGCAUCUGCUUACCAUGUAGAAGGUCCCAGGUUCGAUUCCUGGCUCCUCCU
rnacentral:tRNA from 1 species